GGUUAAGCGACUAAGCGUACACGGUGGAUGCCCUGGCAGUCAGAGGCGAUGAAGGACGUGCUAAUCUGCGAUAAGCGUCGGUAAGGUGAUAUGAACCGUUAUAACCGGCGAUUUCCGAAUGGGGAAACCCAGUGUGUUUCGACACACUAUCAUUAACUGAAUCCAUAGGUUAAUGAGGCGAACCGGGGGAACUGAAACAUCUAAGUACCCCGAGGAAAAGAAAUCAACCGAGAUUCCCCCAGUAGCGGCGAGCGAACGGGGAGGAGCCCAGAGCCUGAAUCAGUAUGUGUGUUAGUGGAAGCGUCUGGAAAGGCGCGCGAUACAGGGUGACAGCCCCGUACACAAAAAUGCACAUAUUGUGAGCUCGAUGAGUAGGGCGGGACACGUGGUAUCCUGUCUGAAUAUGGGGGGACCAUCCUCCAAGGCUAAAUACUCCUGACUGACCGAUAGUGAACCAGUACCGUGAGGGAAAGGCGAAAAGAACCCCGGCGAGGGGAGUGAAAAAGAACCUGAAACCGUGUACGUACAAGCAGUGGGAGCACGCUUAGGCGUGUGACUGCGUACCUUUUGUAUAAUGGGUCAGCGACUUAUAUUCUGUAGCAAGGUUAACCGAAUAGGGGAGCCGAAGGGAAACCGAGUCUUAACUGGGCGUUAAGUUGCAGGGUAUAGACCCGAAACCCGGUGAUCUAGCCAUGGGCAGGUUGAAGGUUGGGUAACACUAACUGGAGGACCGAACCGACUAAUGUUGAAAAAUUAGCGGAUGACUUGUGGCUGGGGGUGAAAGGCCAAUCAAACCGGGAGAUAGCUGGUUCUCCCCGAAAGCUAUUUAGGUAGCGCCUCGUGAACUCAUCUCCGGGGGUAGAGCACUGUUUCGGCAAGGGGGUCAUCCCGACUUACCAACCCGAUGCAAACUGCGAAUACCGGAGAAUGUUAUCACGGGAGACACACGGCGGGUGCUAACGUCCGUCGUGAAGAGGGAAACAACCCAGACCGCCAGCUAAGGUCCCAAAGUCAUGGUUAAGUGGGAAACGAUGUGGGAAGGCCCAGACAGCCAGGAUGUUGGCUUAGAAGCAGCCAUCAUUUAAAGAAAGCGUAAUAGCUCACUGGUCGAGUCGGCCUGCGCGGAAGAUGUAACGGGGCUAAACCAUGCACCGAAGCUGCGGCAGCGACGCUUAUGCGUUGUUGGGUAGGGGAGCGUUCUGUAAGCCUGCGAAGGUGUGCUGUGAGGCAUGCUGGAGGUAUCAGAAGUGCGAAUGCUGACAUAAGUAACGAUAAAGCGGGUGAAAAGCCCGCUCGCCGGAAGACCAAGGGUUCCUGUCCAACGUUAAUCGGGGCAGGGUGAGUCGACCCCUAAGGCGAGGCCGAAAGGCGUAGUCGAUGGGAAACAGGUUAAUAUUCCUGUACUUGGUGUUACUGCGAAGGGGGGACGGAGAAGGCUAUGUUGGCCGGGCGACGGUUGUCCCGGUUUAAGCGUGUAGGCUGGUUUUCCAGGCAAAUCCGGAAAAUCAAGGCUGAGGCGUGAUGACGAGGCACUACGGUGCUGAAGCAACAAAUGCCCUGCUUCCAGGAAAAGCCUCUAAGCAUCAGGUAACAUCAAAUCGUACCCCAAACCGACACAGGUGGUCAGGUAGAGAAUACCAAGGCGCUUGAGAGAACUCGGGUGAAGGAACUAGGCAAAAUGGUGCCGUAACUUCGGGAGAAGGCACGCUGAUAUGUAGGUGAAGUCCCUCGCGGAUGGAGCUGAAAUCAGUCGAAGAUACCAGCUGGCUGCAACUGUUUAUUAAAAACACAGCACUGUGCAAACACGAAAGUGGACGUAUACGGUGUGACGCCUGCCCGGUGCCGGAAGGUUAAUUGAUGGGGUUAGCGCAAGCGAAGCUCUUGAUCGAAGCCCCGGUAAACGGCGGCCGUAACUAUAACGGUCCUAAGGUAGCGAAAUUCCUUGUCGGGUAAGUUCCGACCUGCACGAAUGGCGUAAUGAUGGCCAGGCUGUCUCCACCCGAGACUCAGUGAAAUUGAACUCGCUGUGAAGAUGCAGUGUACCCGCGGCAAGACGGAAAGACCCCGUGAACCUUUACUAUAGCUUGACACUGAACAUUGAGCCUUGAUGUGUAGGAUAGGUGGGAGGCUUUGAAGUGUGGACGCCAGUCUGCAUGGAGCCGACCUUGAAAUACCACCCUUUAAUGUUUGAUGUUCUAACGUUGACCCGUAAUCCGGGUUGCGGACAGUGUCUGGUGGGUAGUUUGACUGGGGCGGUCUCCUCCUAAAGAGUAACGGAGGAGCACGAAGGUUGGCUAAUCCUGGUCGGACAUCAGGAGGUUAGUGCAAUGGCAUAAGCCAGCUUGACUGCGAGCGUGACGGCGCGAGCAGGUGCGAAAGCAGGUCAUAGUGAUCCGGUGGUUCUGAAUGGAAGGGCCAUCGCUCAACGGAUAAAAGGUACUCCGGGGAUAACAGGCUGAUACCGCCCAAGAGUUCAUAUCGACGGCGGUGUUUGGCACCUCGAUGUCGGCUCAUCACAUCCUGGGGCUGAAGUAGGUCCCAAGGGUAUGGCUGUUCGCCAUUUAAAGUGGUACGCGAGCUGGGUUUAGAACGUCGUGAGACAGUUCGGUCCCUAUCUGCCGUGGGCGCUGGAGAACUGAGGGGGGCUGCUCCUAGUACGAGAGGACCGGAGUGGACGCAUCACUGGUGUUCGGGUUGUCAUGCCAAUGGCACUGCCCGGUAGCUAAAUGCGGAAGAGAUAAGUGCUGAAAGCAUCUAAGCACGAAACUUGCCCCGAGAUGAGUUCUCCCUGACUCCUUGAGAGUCCUGAAGGAACGUUGAAGACGACGACGUUGAUAGGCCGGGUGUGUAAGCGCAGCGAUGCGUUGAGCUAACCGGUACUAAUGAACCGUGAGGCUUAACCUU
rnacentral:rRNA from 1 species